GCCCCCUCGACCCUGCUGAGCUCCCCGCGAGGGUUUCCCGCCAUCUGUCGGCGCGCGCUGCGCCUCGAGCGCGAAGGCAUCCCCAAGGUGCGGAAAGGCCCUCUCCUCUUUUCUUGUGCCGAAAAGAGCCAGUUGACACGACUUUUUUCAGCUACAGUGGUCACUGCAAACCUAUUCUCCCUUCACACACCCAGCGUGGAGCUGGAACCCUCCUGGAGUGGCAUUCCACAACAUUCUCGCCUUGCUCAUCCUGAAGUGGGCCUUUCAUCCUCCCCAGCCCUCAUCUGAGCAGAAACAUAGAUCCAAGGACAUUGCUGAGCUCAGGGUCAAGACCAGAGCCUCCCGAGCAUGCAUGAACAACAGGUAAUUUCCUCUCUCAGACAGGGCAACUUCUAGAGGAGGAAGGUCCAUUAAAUGGCAUGAGGAGAAAGCUGAAGGUGACAGGGUUCAUGCCCUGCUUCUCUAUGACUUGGUGCCACAUCCAAUAUGGAGACUGCUCAGCAGUGACAGAGAGAAGUAGAAGUGGCGAUUGAGCCUGAUGCAGUGGUCCUGGCUCCUGUGUGGCCUACUGGGAAUGCUGGUGAUGGACCACAGAAGUGGUGAAGAGUCCAGUAGAAGCUAAGAUGCUGCAGUGUGUAGGGCAAAUGACCUAAACCCCAGACCCAUGAUGAUAUCAACACACUGCCCAAAGGCCAGGUAAGUCUUGCUGCAUCUCAAAGGGGCCCUCAAUGGCCACCAGUCCACAGAGAUGCCAUACUGCCACAGGAACAAAUUUGCAUCCUGAGACCCCAAAGGGAUCUGAGGCCCUUCCUCUCCCAACCCCUAUGCAGCCACAAAUCCUUC